CAGAUCCGGUCAAACCCACUAAUUUACAUGACUAGAAACUGAACCAUGAUUUUUCUUUUUGGGUUUUUUCACUUCCACAAAACGCCAUGGUUUUGCAAUCCUAAACUCUCAAACUCCUCCCUCAACCUUACUAUAUUGAACCUCGAGCUCCUCCCUCGAGCUCUGAUCCCUGUAACUGCUGUCGUAUCCAAACUCCCACCCUCUCUCAGCUCCGGUAUCUCUCACUGUCUCUGGUGUCGCCAUCAAGCUCGGCGUCGCUCUCUCGGAUCGGGUCUCUCUCACGGUCUCGCGUGGUUUUCUUGCCCUCGUCGUCGCUGGCGGCAGACGCAGCAGGUAUCGGGAUUGGUCUUCCUCGCUCCUUGUCUCAUCACUGUGUCGCAGUCAGUCCCACGCUUUCGUUCUACUCGCAGUGGUCUAUGCCCCCCUCUGGCCACAAUUCCUCUUGGUGAUAUAUGUUGGAGAUCAUAUUUUUAGCGACCUGAGAGGUCUCUCAAAGGCAGGUCGGCGCACAGCUGCUAUCAUCCAUGAACUAGAGGCCAAGUUUCAUAUAAUACAAGAAUUACUAGGUAAGUUGCAUGCAACUGCGGCUAAUAGCAUGGGAACCUCGUCUUGCAAUUUACUUCUGGAAGAACUCAAUGGGGAAAGACAACUGCUGUCGAUCCACAUUAUGCAACUGUUGUUUAUGGUUGAUGAAAAUUCAUAUCAGCACUUUAUUGUUUAAAUGGAUUGGAUGUUCCAUCAUUAACAUGUCAUUCAUUUUUUCUAUGAUUGCAACUCGUAGAAGGCAACUGCUGUCGAUCCACAGGAACUUGCCUUCAAUAAUCAUUGACCAGAAGUUCAGUAUCAAGUCCUAGUACGAUUUAAAAAAGACGAUUUCACUUGUGGAUUAUAGCAUGGGUUAACUUAUGAGGGGUCUUUUGUCGUGUAGUAACUAAAUCCUUGCAUAUUCUGACAUGGUUAAGGCUUUGGGUCAGCUAAUGCUUAUUUAUAUACUCACUGAGUCUGAAAUGUUGCUGCAAAUUGCAACAUAUAUUAGUCGUAAAAAAUGCGGAUAUGUUCAACUCUU